rnacentral:rRNA from 1 species
UAAAACAGUUAUAGUUUAUUUGAUGUUUGUUUCUACAUGGAUAACCGUGCUAAUUGUAGGGCUAAUACAUGCUCGGGCUGUUUACAGUUGCGUUUAUUAGACCUAAAACCUCCCCGCUUUUGCGGUGUUUCGGUGAUUCAUAAUAAAUUAGCGAAUCGCAUGGCUUUGCCGGCGAUGUAUCAUUCAAGUUUCUGACCUAUCAGCUUUGGACGGUAGGGUAUUGGCCUACCGGGGCAACGACGGGUAACGGGGAAUUAGGGUUCGAUUCCGGAGAGGGAGCCUGAGAAACGGCUACCACAUCUAAGGAAGGCAGCAGGCA